UGAUGAUGGUGAGGGCAAUUUCUAAACAUACCCUUAAAUCUCUCCCAAGCUUGGUAGAGAUUCUCUCCUUCUUUCUAUCUGAAACUCAAGAUCUCGCUCUUCAAGCA
rnacentral:snoRNA from 1 species